AACUAUUAAGCCUCCUGGUGAUGUUGAAAUUUAUUGUAACCAAAGAUCAGUUCUUCAUUUUGGGUGUCAGUUCAGAAUCUUUUUCUUUUUUCAGUCAGCAGUGGGUAGACUAGAGAAUUGGUUUUCUCAACCACGCCUGUUUGCUGACAAAGAACUCUAUGUUUAAGAACAUCUGUAUUGAACAUGGCUGUCUUUCCUCAGAUAAAGCUUUUUCUUGGAGGACCAAAAAAAAGCAAACACAACCUUACAUACAAUGCACCCUGCGUUAUUCUCUCUCGUUGGUAUUUUGUUUGUUCUUAUCACAUAAGGAGGAAGGAUCCAGUUCCUGGAAUACUUCAUUGUGCCAUGAGCUUCUAGAACAGCCAUUGACCUGGAUUGCUCUCCAGCCUCCUGACGGACCUGGCAACUCUUCACUGCAUGCAUGUAGCUAGGACAGGUGCAGUCCGUGAUACAGGUCUACAUUCAUCGCUGCAGCAAAGCUGCUGCUGUGAUAAUCAUCCCUGGAUCCUGGAACACAGAAUGACAGGGGAGCCUUCUUUCAGCUAGACGGAAAACAAAAAUCAAAGCCAAUUCCUGCAUUUUUAAUCAAGCCAGGAUACAAUGAGGAUAAACGGCUAAAACCAGGCUCCUGCAGGCAAAUAAGUGAUGAAUUAGCUUACUUCAAACUCUCUGAAGAUCAGCACUAGCAUAGAUUCUUUGAAAGAUCUGAAGCAGCAAAUAGCAGAUGAUGCAAGGACUCUCCCAGGAAAACCUCAGCUUCAUCUCUGUGACAGCAGUGCUCAACCAAGGCUAAGAGCUGCUUCAUUCGGUGUUACGUGUCCAACGUGGGAGUCCUUUUAGUGUGAAGCACACAGCAAGCAAGAAGCAGGGAGUGCAGGAACCAGGGGACGUGAGUGCUCUCGCAAUGGCCCUCCAGAGCUCAGCCCAGCAAUUGGCCAGGUUCCUGCAGGUGAGGGGUGACCAGCACAGCACAGGACCCUGCCCAAACAGCUAAGCAACCUGAUUGCACGACACGUGCCUGACUGCACCAUGAUUGCAUCUCUGCGUAAACGAGCACCUUCAGUGCUACAGCCCGUUUGCUCCUCCUCAGCUGAACCUGCAGGUCUGCUCAUGACGGCCACUGGCUGAGCACUGGGACUGCCCUGCCCCUGGGACUGCCUGCCAGCACUGAGAAAAGGCUUCUGGGGUGAGAGGCAACAAGUGCUCCCUGAUGGCAACAUGUUUUAGAGGAUGUUUGCACCGAAAACAAAACGAAAGCUGUUUGAUCCUUCCAGCACGAGGGUGGCUAAUUUAGCAUGGAUUUGGUGAGCAGCUUUGGGCACUCUGCAUCACAGCGGAUGACACGGACUGCUUCCUUUGUAGCCGUUACUGUCUCAUAGCUACAAAGGGAGGAAAGGCAUUUAUUCCAAUCGCUGCAGUAAGACUGGAUUUAUUCCCUAUCUCACCUUCAGGUAAGUACUGGGGUACGUAGUGGGGGUCCUGACCCAGAGCCACGCUGUGAUGUCCCUUUCUGGGCCACUGCUGUCGGCGCAGGCUGGUUCCCUGUCAGGCUGGGAGUGGAGCAGGAGGCAGUGGAAGUGGUUUGAAAGCUGUCACUUCUGCGAGCGCCCGGAGCUGUGAUGCUAAUCAAGAAAAAGGCAGGAGAUGGACUGGGUUCUUUACAUGAGCAGGGCUCCAGGGUUGAAAUUUAUUUUGAGCUUGUGCUUAUUUUUAGAGCGUUUCUUGCUGUUGUUGUCAAACCUAUGCUAAAACAAUUACUGUUGCUGAGGGUCACCAGGAGUUCAGCAGUGCUGAAAACCUCCCAGCACCGCUCCGAGGGCCUGCAUGGCCAGGCAGGGCAGCCCACACAGACACCGUCGCUUAAAGAAACAGCAGCUUCUUGCCUUCCCUCUUCCUAGUUGUGAAUGAAAAGCGUAUUUGAGCCCUUUUAGCUAAUGUCAUCAAGGCGCAUUGCCAAAAUCCAGUUCCAGGUAUCCCAGCACCAGCCCUGCCGUGCCCUUGCGGGACCUGGCUGCUCCGUUCUUGGCCUGGGGGAGGGACAGACAGGUGUCAAACUGGCUGCUGCUUCUUUCCAGUGCAGCCCGGGAGACAGGCUGUCCAAUAAAGCAAGAUAGUGACAAGCUAAAGCCAUGACAAGAACAAAACUCAAGUCUUCCAAGGGAGCCCCUCAAACACGCUCCCCCCAUGCUCAGCUGCGGGCCUCAAACCACUGCGUUUCUGUCUGGCAAGAGUGUGUGCAAAGAGACGGACUGCUGUCUGCACACCACUUUGGUUUAAUUCUCCCAUUUCCUAACUGAUACACAAAAUCGUUUCUUAAGUAACAUCAUUUUUGCAUUUAGAGGAGUUAAGAUACUGAUUUUUCUGGUCAGUCUGUUGGCUGCGGAAUCACAAGUGAUGCAAGGCAGCUGUUCCUGCACUUUUAAAGCGUUAUUGCUGAGAACUUUAUACAUCUAAAGGCAUAAAUAAACCUGCACUAGGAAGAAAGAGUGUGGCAGAAACAGUAGAGAUCCUGGGCUCUCUGUUCAAGGCGAAGACAAGAACUUUCUGUAGAUGUGACAGAGCACCAUGGCUCUCCUCUCCACCAGCAAAGGAUUCAACAAUCCAACAGAGGAAGGAGAACCGUCUGAGGAACGGGAGCCUAUCUCAUCCUGCUGAAACAAAAGAGUGAUGUAUCUUUCUGGAUGCGGAAGAUGCUCAUCAGAAGCGCUGGAACCACUUGGAGCAGAUGACAAGUUUUGAAGGUCACAUGUUGGUGGAUCACAAGUUCGUUCAACCCAGUAGGCGGACACACAGCCAAAGCUGAACUUCUUCAGCAGCUACUCCAAGAAAAGUGAAUGUUUAAUGUGCUGCUCUGUGCCCUGCGUGUUCUGAUUCAUUGGAGAGCAGCAAUCAUGUCGACAGGAGCUGUUCUUCAGUUCCCAUCAGCGACAACUAAAGGCCAAUUCAAGGUUGUGGUGGGGUCAUGAAUCUAACACAGUCACUGAUAGAACAAUUUCCCUUCCACAUGACACCGUCAGUGGGACACAGAGGGAAUAUACAGCCAGGACUGCAGCAGGUAUGUCUUGUUAUUCUCAUCCCUCCUCUCCCCCCUUCCUUUUUUACUUUUAAUUUUUGAUGCUGGGCUCUGCUGUUAAGAAGCCUCUGGGGCAUACACAGUCAGGAAAUAAGAAGAGGGGAAACUUCUCAGCCUUUCAGAAUCUAGCAUCCUCCUGGCCUCUGUGCAGAGCAGCUCAGCAAUAUGAGCUCAGUUUGAGAGCCAGAUCCACCCCAAGACGAUGCGCGCUGUACAGCCAUGCCAGCCUUUUAAAUGAGGAGCUCUGCAAGCUCUGCAAUGACCUCACUUCUGGUACUGUACCUUUUGAAUUAAUAGAAAGGGCAUUUUUAUUUGGAUUGAACCCCACCAGAGUCACUGGCUUUUCACAGCAUGAAGCUUGGACCUGAAUUUUGCCUGACACAUUCUUUUCACACAUUUGUAGUUUAUCCUUCCAAGGGACUUGGCACAAGCCUGGAACAAGCCCCAAGAAAAGAGCCAGCUCCUGCUAUUGUUUCUGCCAUACAUGUCCCAGGGAGAGCAGAUUUUGGACCAGAUGAGUAAUAUUUCAUUCUCAUACCACUAUUAGUCAUGGUGGGUAUACAGCAUCUGACAUGUUAGCGCAAUAUAGCUGAGAACUUUCAAUUAGAACUGCAAAUUCUAAUCUCUAGCAAUGGGGCCCACGUUGAGGAGCAUUUCUAUUGCACGGAUAGAAACAGUGAACACAGUAAGCACCACAUUCUGAAAAAUUACUUCCAGUACCUAAAGUCUUAAGGCUAUGCAGAUUUCUGCCUUCCAUGUUAAAAAAAAAAACAAAACACAAAGAACAGACCUGUAAAAAUGGAAUCAUAGGAUGGGCUAAGGUUUGGUGGAGACUUUAAAGAUCAUUUAGUUCAAACACCCUGCUGUGUAUAGGGUUGCCAUCCACUGGAUCAGUCUGCCCAGGGCCCCAUCCAACCCAUCCACAGUACUCCAGGCAGGGCUUCAUGAGAGCAGAGGGGGACAAUCCCUUCUCUUUUCCUGCUGGCCACUGCCCUUUUGAGGCAGCCCAGGAUAUUGUUGGCCUUUUGAGCUUCAAGAGCAUACCUCUCACUCACCUCCAGCUUUCUGUCCAUCAGACCCCCCAAGACCUUCUCCACUGGGCUGGUCUCAAGGUCUUCUUCUCACAGACUGUACUCAGAUCUAGGAUUGCCUCAACCCAAGUGCAACAACACUCAAGCCUGUCCAGGUCCCUCUGGAUGCCAUCCCUUUCUUCUACUUUAUCUACUGUACCACUCAGCUUAGUGUCAUCAGCAAACUUGCUGAGGGUACGCUCAAUCCAAUGGUUUAUGGUGUUGACAAAGAUGUUGAAGUAUAUUUAUCCCAAGGCUGACUCCUAGGGGACACCACUCGUGACCAGCUCCACCUGGAUAUAGAACCAUUGUCAUCAACCCUCUGGCUACAACCAUCCAACCAAUUCUUUAUCCACUCAGUAGUCCAUCCUUUAAAUCUAUCUCUCUCCAAUUUAGAGAUAAAGAUGUCAAAGGCCUUGUGCAAGUCCAAGUAGAUGACGUCAGUUGUCCUUCCUUUGUCCACUGAUGCUGUCCACCAGCAUCUCUUCCAGGCAGAUAAGAUCCGUGAUCUUCCCAGGAAAAUGUGUCCAUGUGUCCGUGGAGAUCCAGACAACUUUCUCAGCCCCAGAGAUGGCCCCUUCAGGCUGGGACUCCCUGAAAAUCUAUUACAAAUUCUAUCGUUAUAAUUCUAUAAUCUAUUAAAUUCUAUCAUGAUAAUUCUGUAAAUUCUGCCAUCAUAAAAUCUAUUCCAUAAAUCUGUUACAAAUUCUAUGAUUCUGUGAUUCUGUGAAAAGCAAAACCAGGACAGCAAUGGUGGGCCUAUGUCUGUGCAGGGCUAUAAAUGUAGGGCUUCGACACCCAGCGUGUCACACCCUUACCAGCUGCAAGUACUGAAAUCACUGUGUUCCUGGGAAACACUGAAACAAAAUUAGCAAAAAGUUCAAAAAGCUCAGAUCUAAAAAUAUAGCUGCAAUUCACAAUUCCCUUUAAUAGAACCUUAUUCCUGCACUUGGUGUAACUGAAGGUAUUUAUAGACAGGGUAAAAAGAUGGAAUGGAGAUUUGUAUUUAUGAAUAAUAAAGCAGCUGUGAAUGGGAAGAAGCAAGGUUGUGUAACACACCACCUUCUGCAGUGAUGUCCCAGCAAGGACGGGAGCUCCAGUUCUGGUUCAGGCCUGGCAGCUGUACACACAGCUCCUUGGGGCACCAUGUUGCUGUGAGCACAGUGGGGCAGCACGGUCAUGCAUGGUCCUUGGCCUCGGGGCAGAGAGCUGCACCGGUCUGAUUUCACUUGUGUUAAAAGUACUCUGACAAUGGAGACUUGGGUCUCUCUCGUUCUGUUAGGUCUGUGCUGGCAACUGGAUUAAUAUUAAAAUGACGAACACCGUACACACGCAACUCACAUUUCCUAGGUUACAAAUAACUGGAGCAAAGCAAAUAUACCAACAUUAAUAAUUCACCCUAAGAGUUUAGCUCGUUUUUCUUUUAUGGAACUUCUACAGGCAGAUUGCAAUUUCCUCAGAUUUAUUCAUUAUUCAGAUUCAGUCAACAAUUUAAAAGAAAUGUUUACCUACUAGAUAGCCUGUGGUUUGCUUCCCGUGUCACUAGUCAGUUUUGUAACUUGAACUGUUAGUCAUAAUAAUGUAAUUAAGUUAUCUGAUAUGAUUUCUGUCCCUUGGCUACGUCAAAAUUUCAUUCUUUGGGGAGACACUACCAUCCACGUCUGCAUAAAGAUCAAGUUUCUACAAACAUCAUUGUCUGUGUCCGAAUUCUUCCGCAUGCAUGCAAACUAAGAACUGAACUGAGCUGUUCAGAUGUGUGACAAACGAUCAUUAAAACGGGCAGAACAUCUUCGUUUCCUCACUUCUCUGUCACGUAAGAAAAUGAGUGUUCCUUAGCUGUGUUUAAUCUCUCCUGCUACGUGGUUCUUCCCCUUCUCCACUGGUUCUGCAUGUAGAAAGUUAACAAAUAAAAAGCUACUGGCAACAAUGAGAGACCUUUCACUCGCAUCUCGGCAGAAGCCUUUGAGUUUCUGAAGAUCCACAGCCACAAGCGAACACAGCACUGAGAUGGAGAAAUAAGCCUGGCCAGGAGCUUUCCUUCCUCCCCAGGCCGUCACAGGAAGCUGUCAGCUUGCAGAAGGACCUGGGAAAUGACGGUAGUGAUGACAGAAAAGGGAAGAGCUCUGUCAUUCUGUGCUCUGUAGUCAUUCGCCCCUCUGUGGCCACGCUCCUACUCUCAGCUGAGCCCUGCUCUCCAAACUGAGCAAAGCGCUUCUGCAGAGCUGAGUCACAGCAGAAGCCACAACGCUGUUCAGGAGGAGGUGAGAAACCGGGAUGUGUAGGCUACCUCCAGGGGGCAGGGGUUUCUUUCCCUAGAUCUAUUUUGUCUGCAAAGCUGCAGUGCUCUCUCUGCAUUUUUGGAGGAGGUAGAAUAGAUUUAGAAAGUGGCUGCUUAUCGAUUUAUGGUCUUUAUGCUGGACAUGGCUUUUUAUUAAAGAAAGCAGAUACUCAAUACUGUUAACUAGUAAUGGGAAUUGACUUUUCACUAAUUGCACAGGACCUGGCAUUAAUAUACUUUAAUAGAAAACGGGUCCAUGCGCUCCGGAUCAAUCCUGAAGUUUUUUCUGCCUGCACUACAGACAAAGGACUCCAGCAACAGCAACGUAGUUAAAUGAGACACUUCAUUUUUUGUUUAUCUACCAUCCAUCCAAUUACUGAGAUAAGCACACGUCUCCAAGGAAUGAGGGAAGACUGUAGCUUGGCUGCUCAUCCUGUCUGUGUGUCCUGCAGGGACCAUCCCUUCCCGCGUGGCUGUGAUGCAAUCCACCACCCAGCUCCCAGGGCUGCUCCUGCACCAGGCAGAUUGCCACUGGCUUUAAGGGCCCGAGAGCACGGCUUGGAGCAGCCUCACCCUGUAACCAUCCCUCAGGCUGCCCUCAGCUCUCCCGUUGGCCUCCUCUGUGGCCAGCAGGAUAACAGCAGGCCCCGUGGCGUUCCAGGCACCAGCAAUGACACUGGGACUGACAAAGGGCAAUGCUAAUUAAUGCUUCAUGCUAGUUAAUGGUGGAUACUUACGUCGUGUGAAAAUCAUUUUUAGCUCCCUGCAGUUGGCUCAGCUUGACUCCUGCUGCUGCCUGCCUCCCGUCAGGGAAACCCUGCCAUUAGCUGGACCCAGCAGCACCGUGUUUCUUUCCCACUGAAUCAACUCUGCAAAAGGAAAGCCAAAGUCUUGCAAACCUCUGUCUCCUCACAGCACCACAGUGGUUGGUCCUGAUGGUGACAUCUGGUUGUAGGGGGCCACCUGUAUUUGUCCUCUCAUGAAGUGCAGCUUCAUGUACGUGCAGCCAUCUACUAGCAGUGCCAAAUGGUUGCUUCUGGAUACCUGUGGGUGUGCAGAGCAAGCUGCCCCACAGAAAUAUUUUAUUCAGUAAGACAGGACUCGAAGAUGAAAGGGUAACCGCUUCUGAUCAUAACCUUGGCUUUGUCUUUUCAGCAAUUAUACUUUAAUUGCAUUGCCCUAUUUGAAAUAGAAUUGUAAUUGGAAAAAAAAAAAAAUGACAUUCUCUGAUGCAUACUCUUGACACACAUUAUUUGUUUUUUAUUCAAACAUAAAUGUUUUCUGUAACACUAUAAAAAAAAGAAAAAAAAUAAGCAAAAUUGAAAUGUCAGUAGCAAUUUCUGACAUGUGAAAAGCACCAUCAGCAACUCGUGCUGGUUGCUGGGCAAGGGGUUUCAAUCCAACUCAACAGAAAUCCAGCUGUGAAAUGAGCAGAGUUGGAGAGGAGGAAGAAUGUGAGAGGGAAAGGACCUCAGCCCCAGCCCUUCAGGAGAGCUGGCCGUUGCACAUGGCAGUAUCAGAAUAUCAUACCUGCAACCAGCUGUGACUGUGUGAUAAGUGGGCCUUUCAGAUCACAUGGAAACAGAAGAUGCAGAAAGAUAAUUUCAAACCUUACUACUCACCACUGAAUAAUUGCUAGGGUCAAUAUAAGUCAAUGAAACACAGGUUCCCUUCAGUUGUACUCUAUAGAGCGCAGCCAUAGAGAAGUGUCUUUGCAUCUUCUUCCUUAACUCUCAGGAGGAUCCAAGAGAAUCUACUCUGGUGGCAGCUUAUACCUUGUAAUUUGCAUUUGGAGUUUCUGAGAGCUGAGCUCCAGCCAGUCUGGUGGUCACACUGCGUGCAAGGAGAGCUGGGGCUCAGUGCAUCACUCCAUGCUGGGGGAGGUACCUGGCAGCACCCAGCAUGCUGCAGUUCACACACACAUGGAGUAGGAGAAGCUGCUGAUGUCCUCCGCAGCGGUUCUUAUGAUGGAUUUCCUUUGUCAGCAGCUCUGCAUUCUCAUUUGCUCCAAAACAGAUCCGGUCCAGUGUUAGUUCAGAGAGUCAGCAGUUCACAGGCAAGAAAUUAACACAGGGGAGCCAUAAACCAGAGGUAGCUGGCACAGACGAGGCUGGAUAAAUUGUGCCUCUUUUAUUGGUUUAUUUUUUUAUAAAAGCAAAACCAGAACUGAAGCACAACAGUCAGAACAAAACCUCCCUUUCAGAAAAAUGGAUUUUUGGAGUUGCCUGCAGACAUAACCUACUUUUGUUAGUGCUGGUUAAUUCCUCUGUGCUUUGUACCCAGCUAGUUUGUUAUGACCAGAACAACUUGCUAUUGCCAGAGAAAUACACAGACAUGCAGGCUGACAGAACAGCGUAGUGAGAGCUGGGGGUCCCUUGGUGAAGGUCUGAGCACCUGUACAAUUUAGGAACCUGACUUGAGGUGUAGUACAUUUAAUAACUCUAACCUUCUCUUCUGUUGAGACAGCUCUCUGAAAGUGAGGUGGCACAAAGGUAAUAACUAAAAACUAAACAGAAAUAUAAUCACUGAUUAAUAAGGUAAGUGUUAAAAAGAGCUGGGUGUCAGGAGGAGGGUUAAAGCAGCAUUGAAGACAGCUGAUAGGAUGCAGCCCAGGUGAUGGGAAACUCCCAGGGGAGCACCUGCCAGAGCAAUUAGAUGCUAUAAAAGAGAAAGAAAGGAGCAACUUGGAGCUUUGCUUGUGCUGAGGUUAUUUUGCGGGGAGAAAUUCAUUCUCUUGAAUGCAUCUGGACUCUUAGGCCCUCAGAAAUAAUAUUCUAGAGCAAAAAGCACUUAAUUUAGAAAAUCUGUUGUUCUACUGAGAAUCUGUAGAACUUGAUUUUCUCUC